UAUUAGAAAUGUAAGUUUUAAGGAUGGCCU
rnacentral:piRNA from 1 species